rfam:Microgenomates (Woesebacteria) bacterium GW2011_GWA1_37_7 TS53_C0052, whole genome shotgun sequence.
GGGCUGGUGGCGGAAUGGCAUACGCGCACGCCUUAAGAGCGUGUGAGAUUACAUCUCGUGUGGGUUCGAGUCCCACUCAGCCCA